GGCAGUGGUGGCUCAGUGGUUAAGGCUCUGGGUUACUAUUCAGUAGGUCAGGUGUUCAAGCCCCAGCACUGCCA